GGGGGACCUUCGGGCCUCUUGCCAUCGGAUGUGCCCAGAUGGGAUUAGCUAGUAGGUGGGGUAACGGCUCACCUAGGCGACGAUCCCUAGCUGGUCUGAGAGGAUGACCAGCCACACUGGAACUGAGACACGGUCCAGACUCCUACGGGAGGCAGCAGUGGGGAAUAUUGCACAAUGGGCGCAAGCCUGAUGCAGCCAUGCCGCGUGUAUGAAGAAGGCCUUCGGGUUGUAAAGUACUUUCAGCGGGGAGGAAGGGAGUAAAGUUAAUACCUUUGCUCAUUGACGUUACCCGCAGAAGAAGCUCCGGCUAACUCCGCCCAGCAGCCGC
rnacentral:rRNA from 1 species